AGGACGUUGCAAGACUGUGUUUGUUGGUUUUUGCUCUGUUUGUCGCCGUUCACGUUCAAAGCGCUGUCGCAGGUCCGUCAGUGCUUGGUAAAGCUUGCACGGUUCCUGCAAAUUGUUCCAGUGUAGCGAAUGCUACUUGCACUAACAACACAUGCGUUUGUACAGCAGCCUUCAAAGUGUCAGGCCUACAAUGCGCUCAUAAAGGAAUAGACGAUAACUGUAGUGCUGAUGCAGAUUGUGCUGCCGUGAAUCUUUCAACGUGCGAUAACACAACUACCAAUAAAUGUGUGUGCCCUGCGACGCACAAAGCUGUCAAAGGACAGUGUAAAACGAAAGG
rnacentral:lncRNA from 1 species